ensembl:lncRNA
AAUCUCCCCCAAAUUCACCCCAAAAUCCAAUGGGAACCCCAAAAUCCCCAAAUUCACCCCAAAACUCACCUGGAACCCCCAAAUCCUCCAAAUUCACCCCAAAAUCCCCAAAUUCACCCCAAAAUUCACCCCAAAAUUCUAAAAUUCCCCAAAUCCACCCCAAAAUCCCCCAAAUUCACCCCAAAAUCCCCCUGGGACCCCCCCAAAAUCCCCUCCCAGGCUUCACCUGCGGGGUGGGCGGAGCUUCGGCGUCACCCCCAACAUCUGGAUGGGGGGGUCCCUCCACACCUGGAUCGGGGGGUUCCUCCACAUCUGGAUGGGGGGGCUCCUCCCCCUCCACAUCUGGAAUCCUGGGGGGCGGGAACAGCUGGGUGUCCACAUCUGGAACGCCGGGGGGCUCCUCCCCCUCCACAUCUGGAUCCCCGGGGGGCUCCUCCCCCUCCACAUCUGGAACACCGGGGGGCUCCGGGCCCCCCACAUCUGGAUGGGGGGGUUCCUCCUGCCCCACAUCUGGAAUCCUCGGGGGCGGGAACAGCUGGGUGGCCACAUCUGGAACGCCGGGGGGCUCCUCCCCCUCCACAUCUGGAUCCCUGGGGGUCACGAACAGCUGGGUGGCCACAUCUGGAUCCGGGCUCGCCACCCCUCCCCCCGCCGGGAUUUUGGGGCCUCUGGGGGCCGCAUUUGGGGGCAGGAACAGCUGGGUGGCCACAUCUGGAUCGGGGGAGGGCGGCCCCUCCGCCACAUCUGGAAGGCCGGGGCUUCCCGGGCUGCCAACAUCUGGGGAGGGCAGGAAGGGCUGGGUGGGCACAUCUGGAUCCGACUCCUCCUCCUCCUCCACAUCUGGAUCCGGCUCCUCCUCCUCCACAUCUGGAUCCGGCUCCUCCUCCUCCACAUCUGGAAUUCGGGGCGGCAGGAACAGCUGGGUGGCCACAUCUGGAUCCCACCCCUCCCCUCCCCCCGCCACAUCUGGAGCCCCGGGCGGCCCCGGGGCGAUCCGCCGCCUCUUGGGGGGCCGAACAUCUGGAUCCUCCUCCCCCUCCUCCACAUCUGGAGCUUCCGGGAGGUUUUGGGUCGUUUUGGGCCUUUCUGGGGGCUCCACAUCUGGAUCCUCCUCCUCCACGUCUGUGUCGCUCUCCACCCGGCACCGGAUUUUGGGGCUGGCAACAUCUGGAUCUGCAGCCACAUCUGGAAUUCCUGACAGGUCUUGGGUCAUUCUGAGCCUUUUUGGGGGCUCCACAUCUGGAUCCGCGGCCACAUCUGGAGUUCCUGGGAGGUUUUGGGUCAUCUUGGGGGGCUCCACAUCUGGAUCCGCGGCCACAUCUGGCGUCUCGGGCACCUUUUGGGUCACUCUGAGCCUUUCUGGGGACUCCACAUCUGGAUCCUCCCCCUCCACGUCCGUGUCACUCUCCACCCGGCACCAGAUUUUGGAGCUGACAACAUCUGGAUCCGCGGCCACAUCUGGAGUUUCCGGGACAUUUUGGGUCAUUCUGAGCCUUUUCGGGGGCUCCACAUCUGGAUCCUCCCCCUCUAUAUCCGUGUCGCUCUCCACCCGGCACCAGAUUUUGGGGCCGGCCACAUCUGGAUCCGGCUUUGGGGCCACAUCUGGAGUUCCUGGGACAUUUUGGGUCAUUCUGAGCCUUUUCGGGGGCUCCACAUCUGGAUCCUCCCCCUCUACAUCCGUGUCGCUCUCCACC